GUACCUGCGGAAGGAUCAUUAUCGUACAACAGAGGUGUAAGGGCUGUUGCUGACCCUUAAAGGUCGUGCACGCCUAAGCCCUCUUACACAAUCCAUUUCACCCCUUUUGUGCAUCACCGCGUGGGUCCUCCCUUUGCCAGGAGGGCCUGCGUUUUUAUAUAAAACUUGACACGAUGUGGAAUGUUUUCUUCUUUUGCGAUUAUAUGCAAUCAAUACAACUUUCAACAACGGAUCUCUUGGCUCUCGCAUCGAUGAAGAACGCAGCGAAAUGCGAUACGUAAUGUGAAUUGCAGAAUUCAGUGAAUCAUCGAAUCUUUGAACGCACCUUGCGCCCCUUGGCAUUCCGAGGGGCACACCCGUUUGAGUGUCGUGAAAUUCUCAAAGCCCCCUUUUUCUUUGGAAAAAGGAGUUUUGGACUUGGAGGUUCAAUGCUUGCAUUUCACUUUUGAAAGCGAGCUCCUCUCAAAUGAAUUAGUGGGGUCCGCUUUGCUGAUCCUCAACGUGAUAAGAUGUUUCUAUGUUUUGGAUUUGGCACUGUCCCUUGGAUGCCUGCUUCUAACCGUCUCACGGACAAUGAUGGUGCUCCGGUCACUACCGUUUAUAUCGGUGGAAGGCUGGACCCACAAAAAUAAAACCUUGACCUCAAAUCGGGUGAGACUACCCGCUGAACUUAAGCAUAUCAUAG
rnacentral:rRNA from 1 species